UCUACGGGAGGCAGCAGUGGGGAAUAUUGCACAAUGGGGGAAACCCUGAUGCAGCGACGCCGCGUGAGUGAAGAAGUAUUUCGGUACGUAAAGCUCUAUCAGCAGGGAAGAAAAUGACGGUACCUGACUAAGAAGCCCCGGCUAACUACGUGCCAGCAGCCGCGGUACUACGUAGGGGGCAAGCGUUAUCCGGAUUUACUGGGUGUAAAGGGAGGGUAGACGGCAGCGCAAGUCUGGAGUGAAAUCCCUUGGCUUAACCAUGGAACUGCUUUGGAAACUGUGCAGCUAGAGUGCAGGAGAGGUAAGCGGAAUUCCUAGUGUAGCGGUGAAAUGCGUAGAUAUUAGGAGGAACACCAGUGGCGAAGGCGGCUUACUGGACUGUAACUGACGUUGAGGCUCGAAAGCGUGGGGAGCAAACAGGAUUAGAUACCCUUGUAGUC
rnacentral:rRNA from 1 species